GUGAAUCAUCAAAUCUUUGAACGCAAAUUGCACUCUCUUCGGAGAGUAUGCCUGUUUGAGGGUCAGUCUAAAAAAAAUCGACAUAUUCGCUGUUUCUCGGUGACAUGCGUCGGAAAUUGGUUCGUCUUAAGCCUUUGGGUUUUAAUCGGCUUAAAAUUUUCUUUACGAUUCUUCGAACAUUUCUAAGAUUUACUUACUCGUUUAUGGUAUCGAUUUUUAUUUAAC
rnacentral:misc_RNA from 1 species